GAUGAAGAACGCAGCGAACUGCGAUAAGUAAUGUGAAUUGCAGAAUUCAGUGAAUCAUCGAGUCUUUGAACGCACAUUGCGCCCCCUGGCAUUCCGGGGGGCAUGCCUGUCCGAGCGUCAUUGCUGCCCUUCAAGCCCGGCUUGUGUGUUGGGUCGUCGUCCCCCCCGGGGGACGGGCCCGAAAGGCAGCGGCGGCACCGCGUCCGGUCCUCGAGCGUAUGGGGCUUUGUCACCCGCUCGAUUAGGGCCGGCCGGGCGCCAGCCGGCGUCUCCAACCUUCUAUUUUACCAGGUUGACCUCGGAUCAGGCAGGGAUACCCGCUGAACUUAAGCAUAUCAAUAAGCGGAGGA
rnacentral:misc_RNA from 1 species